UACGUAGGUGGCAAGCGUUAUCCGGAAUUAUUGGGCGUAAAGCGCUCGCAGGCGGUUUCUUAAGUCUGAUGUGAAAGCCCACGGCUCAACCGUGGAGGGUCAUUGGAAACUGGGAGACUUGAGUGCAGAAGAGGAGAGUGGAAUUCCACGUGUAGCGGUGAAAUGCGUAGAGAUGUGGAGGAACACCAGUGGCGAAGGCGACUCUCUGGUCCAUUAUUGACGCUAAAGCACGAAAGCGUGGGGAGCAAACAGG
rnacentral:rRNA from 1 species